rnacentral:rRNA from 1 species
GACGAACGCUGGCGGCGUGCCUAAUACAUGCAAGUAGAACGCUGAAGCGAGGAGCUUGCUCUUCUUGGAUGAGUUGCGAACGGGUGAGUAACGCGUAGGUAACCUGCCUUGUAGCGGGGGAUAACUAUUGGAAACGAUAGCUAAUACCGCAUAACAAUGGAUGACACAUGUCAUUUAUUUGAAAGGGGCAAUUGCUCCACUACAAGAUGGACCUGCGUUGUAUUAGCUAGUAGGUGAGGUAAUGGCUCACCUAGGCGACGAUACAUAGCCGACCUGAGAGGGUGAACGGCCACACUGGGACUGAGACACGGCCCAGACUCCUACGGGAGGCAGCAGUAGGGAAUCUUCGGCAAUGGGGGCAACCCUGACCGAGCAACGCCGCGUGAGUGAAGAAGGUUUUCGGAUCGUAAAGCUCUGUUGUAAGUCAAGAACGGGUGUGAGAGUGGAAAGUUCACACUGUGACGGUAGCUUACCAGAAAGGGACGGCUAACUACGUG